AUCCGCCCGGGCAGCUCGGGAAUUUAAGGCUACGGAUGGGAAAAAGGUUGUCGGAGGGAGGCAGAAGGGACUGGGUUAAAUUAAGCAGGAGGGGCAAGAACACACAGAGGACCCUGCAACCAAUGGGAAUUCGCAGGCUGGGGUGGUUUCGAAGGAAGGUCGAACAGGCCUGAGGAGGCAGAGCUUUAAGUUGAGAUAGCCAAUAGAGAUGAAGGCACAGUAGAUGGCGUGUCCUAAAUCCAAUCGAAAUAGAGCUAGAGGUGAGCGGGGCAGGAAUGCGGCAGGUUGGAGGCACCCUACCAAUCAGACCAGGUCAGCAGCGGACAGGCGGGACGGCCGGCUAAUGGGAAACAAGGACUGCGGAAGGCCAGGGUCGGGAGAAGAGGCAGGAGGCUGGCGCUAUCUUUCAGGUAGCCAAUCACUGUCCGCUAAGAACAGCGGGCGUGUCAGCAGCCCUUUUAGGGACUCUGAGGGUCUCGGAAGGGGCCUGUGAGGGGUCUUUCAAGGUUGAGGAGGCGGCAUCGUCCAAAGAGGGAGAAGUAUGGUCCCGAGAACCGGGCGAAGGAAGGCGGUUGUGAAUUUGGGAUCCUCACCUCGGGCCUUGCGCCGAGUCUCCUGGUCACCGAGGCUGGGUGGCUUCUCCAUGGAGCUCAGGAUGGAGCCCAGUAGGUCCGCCAUCUUGGGAGUGACUGAGAGGGGGCGGUGCGUCUUAAAGGGAAGGGCGGAAUGCCUUUAAGGCCGGAAACACGUCGGAGGCUGGCUGGUGCAGCGAUGUUUAAUGGCAAUUCGUAUAAACCAAGCCCAUGCACAAGUAGAAAGUGCCCGUGGAGCCGGCAGGAGGCCCCCGCCGCGCUAGAGAACCACAAGCCCGGCCGUGCAGCCCUCCCCGCGGCGCCUUAAAUAGAUUCUUCACUAUACUCUGUAUGUUACA
rnacentral:lncRNA from 1 species